CUUGGUUUUAAUCUGAACUCUGCCUCUUAAAUUACCUUUCUUUCCACAGCUUGUCCUUCCAGCACUUCUCGGAAAUAUUCAUUGAGAUUUUCUGCCUACCAUGAAAUAAGUGGAAGGAAAACAUAGAUGUGCUCACUGAAAAUUCAUGGCCUGGAGAGCAAAAAGGGCCGGUCCAUAGCCUGGAAAUUUUCAAAGAUAUUCAGUGGGGUUGUAUUGAACCAUCUGUGGCAUGACACCUUCGGGAGCUGCACCCUGAAGAGGAGGAGACAUGGAUUGUCAUCAGCACGUGGAGACUGGGAAAAUUGAAAAACAGAUGAAUAUUUUGGAUUGGGUCCUUGGACUGGAAGUGGUUGUCUGACAUCAAUCUGCAUCACCUGCUGUAUUGUAUGAUGGUAGCUAAGAAUAAAAAUCUCUACUAUUUCCGCCUGAGGAGUGGG
rnacentral:lncRNA from 1 species